UUAUCCGUUUGAUUUUAAUUGCAAUUAAAUAACGGAAACAUUAUGAUUCAUUGUGUAACAAACGUUAAGUUUCACGAGUAAUUAGUUUGGCAGAGGUAUGAUGCUUUGAUUUGCCAAUUAAAAUAAUUUCGGGACCAAUUUAACAAUUAUCAAACACACUUAGAUCGGAAGACGUGUGAUCAGAUGAUUGACUAAUUACUAGUACAGAAACAUCAAAAGGAGACAUUAUAAAGGCGUUAUAUUGUUUUUAAAAACUUUAAGCCAGUUUGCAUCUUUUGAUCUCAAGAUAUUCGCCGAAAGUGUAUAUAAAAAGCAACUUGGCUAUGGCAUCGUCAUUCGUGAUUUUAUAUUUCGACACGUUCUUAUGACAGACGAAUUGUGUAUUUCGUGUGAUCAGAUAGUGACACCUCGCAAACAUGCCAUCACAUGCGAUUUAUGUGACAGAUGGCAACAUCGGACAUGUGAUACAGGUAUAUCAGCAGGGAGUAUCACCAGGCCCGUAAAUCACAGCUCGAACUGCAUUUUAUAUGCAGACCGUGCCAUCUUCAGACCAUCGAUCCAGAGCCUUUGGAAGAAACCGGAAAUACGGAGCCUAAGCAAGAACCCGAGCCGAUGGAAGAAACCGUCUAUCCUGAGCACAUGGAAGAUACUGAGCCCACGGUAGAACCAGUCCAUCUAGAGCAGAGGGAAGAUACUGAGCCCACGGAAGAACCAGUCCAUCUAGAGCAGAGGGAAUAUCCUGAGCCCACGGAAGAACCAGUCCAGGAAAAGCCGAUGCAGGUUGACGCUCACUUCGACAUGAGUUUUGACGUAAAUCACAGAGUGGCAGAUGACCCGGAAGAACCACAAGACACGUCCCUCAAUGCAGAACCAGAUCUUCCAAACCAUAUUAUGGAAGAAGAGGCAUUGACGUACUAAGUGCUGGAAAAGGGCGGUAAACGAGGCGGUAAACUACUGGUGACCAGCAAUGGCUAUUCUUAUGGAGUAAAGCCAACAAGAAGUCUACGUUGUGGACGUGUGGUGUACGGUCAACAAAGAUGCGAUGCCAUGCAACUGUCAGCCAACACGGUGACCAUUUCAAACCAGGUCUACAAGAUCCCGCGCACCCCGCGGACUUAAGACUGGCCGUCAAAGCAGAGUUAUCGGCAGUGGCAGGCCUAUUAUUUAUUUAUUUAACAAAUAUAUCGGCAAUGGUAGGCCUUUUAUUUAUUUAUUUUAAAAAUAUGUCGGCAGUGGUAGGCCUAUUAUUUAUUUAUUUAAAAAAUGGUAUGCAAACAGAAACAAGGUGCAAUUUCUCAUUAUGUCACAAUGUCCGAAUGGUUUUUUACGCUGUUUUAUUUCAGCUUCGUUACAAUUUUUUUAUUUCAGAGCAAGCAUCUGAUGGAGCUAGAUCCGCACCGGCGAGCCAUGGAAGUAGUGACUCAUGUGAUGACCAAUCUUAUCCCGGAAGAACAGCGGUUCCUGGCCCCAAAACAGAAACUGUUAAAGCGGGCUCUGAACCGUCACCGAGCCAAGAAUAGGCAUGAGGAACCAACCAAUUUAGACUUUGAGCUUGACACAGACUAUCUGUGCUGACUUUUUGCUGGCCGACAUCCGAGUGGGAGACCAAAGGCACAUUAUCUUCGCCACGGAAUACCAGCUUAACCUACUUUGCCAUGCUAGGCGCUGGUUCAUGGA